rnacentral:rRNA from 1 species
UACGGAGGGUGCGAGCGUUGUCCGGAAUUACUGGGCGUAAAGGGUGCGCAGGCGGCUCCGCAUGUCGGGCGUGAACUCCCCGGGCUUAACCUGGGAAUUGCGUCCGAAACUAUGGAACUGGAGUGUGGCAGAGGGAGGUGGAAUUCCACGUGUAGCGGUGAAAUGCGUAGAGAUGUGGAGGAACACCGAUGGCGAAGGCAGCCUCCUGGGCCAACACUGACGCCCAUGCACGAAAGCGUGGGGAGCAAACAGG